rnacentral:lncRNA from 1 species
AUACGGCGUGGUUUUGAGGAGGAUUUUUCUUCGUGUGAAUAAUUUGAGAGUAGAAAUGGUGGCGAAUAGGAUGAAGAUAUUGGCCAAAGAGACUUCCACUCGUCCAAGAAUUCCAUUGCCGGCAGAGUUCCGGCAGGUGAACGGCGGGAGAAUAAGCUUUUGGUUUCAGGGAGAGCAAGGAAGCAAAGAACGGAGUAUUGUAAAAUAAAAAAAUCCAUAUUCUGAUGUUUGUAGAAAUCUUGGUAGAGAAUACUCAGGAAUUGGAGGAGGAAGCCGAGUUGAUAACAAUGGCAACCGGAGGAGUAGUCUUGAAAAUCAAAGGUCCAAUUGGACUAUCAAUAUGUCGUCGUUUUGAGGAGGACUUUUCUUCGUGUGAAUAAUUUGAUAGUUGAAGUGGUGGCGAAUAGGAUGAAGAUAUUGGCCAUAGAGACUUCCACUCGUCCGAGAAUUCCAUUGCCAGCAGAGUUGCAGCAGGUGAACGGCGGGAGAAUAAGCUUUUGGUUUCAGGGAGAGCAAGGAAGCAAAGAAUGAAUAGAUGAAAAUUUCAUGUUUGGUCCGAAAAUAUUGUAAACGACUACUCGAUCGAUCGAAGAUAUAUUUUGGAAUUUGGAAAAUUACGUGUGGGACCUAUUUUGAAGGCACCGAUUGGGUUGAAGGUGGAGAGCGGAGAAAACUAGUUAUUUUAAGUAUAGCAGAGGGUCUGGAGCAUUUUUUAUAGUAAAGUUGUCAAAUGUAUCCGUCUAUUUUUCAUCCCCUUUUUUAGUAGAUUUCUAUUGCAUUGUCC